AAGCGGCCGCCGUCCGCGUGUCAGGUGAACUGAACUUCAGGGGGAAUCAGCACAUUCCUCGCAAAAGUUGAGGUCCACUAGCCACGUUUCCCACGGAGAACAGAGCUGAAGAAGCUUGUGCGAUGCCGGCAAAAUCCCAAAGAGUAAAUAACCUACAAUUCAGUAGGUAAGCAAUCCAGAUACAAACCAUUUAAAGCUCCUGUCUGUCAUCAGCUCUUCACACAAAAG